rnacentral:rRNA from 1 species
GACGAACGCUGGCGGCGUGCUUAACACAUGCAAGUCGAACGGUAAGGCCCUUUCGGGGGUACACGAGUGGCGAACGGGUGAGUAACACGUGGGUGAUCUGCCCUGCACUUUGGGAUAAGCCUGGGAAACUGGGUCUAAUACCGGAUAGGACUACGCGAUGCAUGUCGUGUGGUGGAAAGCUUUUGCGGUGUGGGAUGGGCCCGCGGCCUAUCAGCUUGUUGGUGGGGUGAUGGCCUACAAAGGCGACGACGGGUAGCCGGCCUGAGAGGGUGUCCGGCCACACUGGGACUGAGAUACGGCCCAGACUCCUACGGGAGGCAGCAGUGGGGAAUAUUGCACAAUGGGCGCAAGCCUGAUGCAGCGACGCCGCGUGGGGGAUGACGGCCUUCGGGUUGUAAACCCCUUUCAGCACAGACGAAGCGUAAGUGACGGUAUGUGCAGAAGAAGCACCGGCCAACUACGUG